GUGGUCACUUCAAUAGCAGGUACACUAAAAUUGGAACGACACAGAGAAAACUAGCAUGGCCCUGGAGCAAAGAUAACACAUAAAUUCAUGAAGCAUUCCAUAUUUUU
ensembl:snRNA U6 U6 spliceosomal RNA